rnacentral:misc_RNA from 1 species
UUUCCGUAGGUGAACCUGCGGAAGGAUCAUUAAAGAGAAUAUGCCCUUCGGGGUAGAUCUCCCACCCUUUGUUUAUAUUACCUUUGUUGCUUUGGCAGGCCCGUCUUCGGACCACCGGCUUCGGCUGGUCAGUGCUUGCCAGAGGACCCGAAACUCUUAUUAUUAAUGUCGUCUGAGUACUAUAUAAUAGUUAAAACUUUCAAUAACGGAUCUCUUGGUUCUG